GAGGGUAUAGCUCGGUGGUAGAGUGCGUGCUUAGCAUGCACCAGGUCCUGGGUUCAAUCCCCAGUACCGCCA
rnacentral:tRNA from 1 species